UACGUAGGGUGCAAGCGUUGUCCGGAAUUAUUGGGCGUAAAGAGCUCGUAGGCGGUUUGUCGCGUCUGCUGUGAAAUCUGGAGGCUCAACCUCCAGCCUGCAGUGGGUACGGGCAGACUAGAGUGCGGUAGGGGAGAUUGGAACUCCUGGUGUAGCGGUGGAAUGCGCAGAUAUCAGGAAGAACACCGAUGGCGAAGGCAGAUCUCUGGGCCGUAACUGACGCUGAGGAGCGAAAGCAUGGGGAGCGAACAGG
rnacentral:rRNA from 1 species